rnacentral:rRNA from 1 species
UACGGAGGGGGCUAGCGUUGUUCGGAAUUACUGGGCGUAAAGCGCACGUAGGCGGACUGGAAAGUCAGGGGUGAAAUCCCGGGGCUCAACCCCGGAACUGCCUGUGAAACUCCCAGUCUUGAGGUCGAGAGAGGCGAAUGGAACUCCGAGUGUAGAGGUGAAAUUCGUAGAUAUUCGGUGGAACACCAGUGGCGAAGGCGACUCACUGGCUCGAUACUGACGCGGAGGUGCGAAAGCGUGGGGAGCAAACAGG